rnacentral:rRNA from 1 species
UACGGGGGGGGCAAGCGUUGUUCGGAAUUACUGGGCGUAAAGGGCUCGUAGGCGGCCAACUAAGUCAGACGUGAAAUCCCUCGGCUUAGCCGGGGAACUGCGUCUGAUACUGGAUGGCUGGAGGUUGGGAGAGGGAUGCGGAAUUCCAGGUGUAGCGGUGAAAUGCGUAGAGAUGUGGAGGAACACCGAUGGCGAAGGCAGCCCCCUGGGUCAACACUGACGCUCAUGCACGAAAGCGUGGGGAGCAAACAGG